rnacentral:rRNA from 1 species
UACGUAGGGGGCCAGCGUUGUCCGGAAUCAUUGGGCGUAAAGCGCGCGUAGGCGGCUUGGUAAGUCCGUUCUGAAAGCCCGGGGCUCAACCCCGGGAGGCGGAUGGAUACUGCCAAGCUCGAGUCCGGAAGAGGCAAGUGGAAUUCCCGGUGUAGCGGUGAAAUGCGCAGAUAUCGGGAGGAACACCAAUGGCGAAGGCAGCUUGCUGGGACGGUACUGACGCUGAGACGCGAAAGCGUGGGGAGCAAACAGG